ensembl:snRNA U6 U6 spliceosomal RNA
AUGCUCGCUUCGGCAGCACAGAUACUAAAAUUGGAAUGAUACAGAGAUUAGCAUGGCCCCUGCGCCAGGAUGACACACACAUUUGUGAAGCAGUCCAUAUUUUU